GUACACGCUGUGACUAGCAUAUCAAUAAGCGGAGGAAAAGAAACUAACAAGGAUUCCCCCUAGUAACGGCGAGUGAAGCGGGAAGAGCUCAAAUUUGAAAUCUUAAAGGGUUUCCCUUUACGAAUUGUAGUUUAAAGAAGUGUUUUCUGUUGAGGUUUUGGUAAAAGUUCUUUGGAAUAGGACAUCAUAGAGGGUGAGAAUCCCCGUAUUUGACCUUUACUUUCAACUUUGUGAUACACUUUCAAAGAGUCGGAUUGUUUGGGAAUGCAGUCCAAAAUGGGUGGUAAAUUUCAUCUAAAGCUAAAUAUUGGCGAGAGACCGAUAGCGAACAAGUACCGUGAGGGAAAGAUGAAAAGAACUUUGAAAAGAGAGUUAAACAGUACGUGAAAUUGUCAAAAGGGAAGCGUUUGACACCAGUGUUGUUUUUCUGGAAAUCAAUUAAAGAACUGUUUAUGCUAAGCUUGUUUAGACUUUAUCAGCUAAUCUGUUUAGUUUUGAGCUUUUCUUUAAUGCACUUUUCAGUUAACAAGUCAACAUCAAUUUCUUUUGCUGUAAAAAAGCUUGAGGAAGGUGGCUUGAGAUUCGUCUUAAGUGUUUAUAGCCUCUUGCCUAUGCAGUCGGAGAGAUUGAGGUCUGCAGCGUAGAUCCUUCGGGGCUAAAUGCAUUUGUGCUAAGUUAUAGCAUUUUAUAGACAACUUGUUGACUAUGAUUUGUCUUGUAGCUUACUCGCUUAUGUUAUUUUACCUACGCUUAGGAUGUUGACGCGCGUGUGUGCGUG
rnacentral:rRNA from 1 species